AUUGAACGCUGGCGGCAUGCCUUACACAUGCAAGUCGAACGGCAGCAUGAUCUAGCUUGCUCGAUUGAUGGCGAGUGGCGAACGGGUGAGUAAUACAUCGGAACGUGCCCUGUAGUGGGGGAUAACUAGUCGAAAGAUUAGCUAAUACCGCAUACGACCUGAGGGUGAAAGUGGGGGACCGCAAGGCCUCAUGCUAUAGGAGCGGCCGAUGUCUGAUUAGCUAGUUGGUGAGGUAAAGGCUCACCAAGGCGACGAUCAGUGGCUGGUCUGAGAGGACGAUCAGCCACACUGGGACUGAGACACGGCCCAGACUCCUACGGGAGGCAGCAGUGGGGAAUUUUGGACAAUGGGCGAAAGCCUGAUCCAGCAAUGCCGCGUGUGUGAAGAAGGCCUUCGGGUUGUAAAGCACUUUUGUCCGGAAAGAAAUGGCUCUGGUUAAUACCUGGGGUCGAUGACGGUACCGGAAGAAUAAGGACCGGCUAACUACGUG
rnacentral:rRNA from 1 species